rnacentral:rRNA from 1 species
AUUAUCCUACGGGAGGCAGCAGUGGGGAAUAUUGCACAAUGGGGGAAACCCUGAUGCAGCGACGCCGCGUGAGCGAGGAAGUAUUUCGGUAUGUAAAGCUCUGUCAGCAGGGAAGAAGAAUGACGGUACCUGAAGAAGAAGCACCGGCUAAAUACGUGCCAGCAGCCGCGGUAAUACGUAUGGUGCAAGCGUUAUCCGGAUUUACUGGGUGUAAAGGGAGCGCAGGCGGCAUGGCAAGUCUGAUGUGAAAACCCGGGGCCCAACCCCGGGAGUGCAUUGGAAACUGCCAGGCUGGAGUGUCGGAG